GCGCUACCUUUGAGCCCCCGCGCACCUUCUUGUGGUGCCUGCUGCAGAGAGGGGGGGGAGUUAAGCUGCAGCACCAUAGCACACUGCUGGUGCAUAACUGGGGUCUUCUGCCCUUCACAGACACAGGCGGCCCCUUUAACCUAUAGCUACAGGC